rnacentral:misc_RNA from 1 species
GAAAUGCGUUAAGUAGUGUGAAUUGCAGAAUUCAGUGAAUCAUCGAAUCUUUGAACGCACAUUGCGCCCCUUGGUAUUCCAUGGGGCAUGCCUGUUCGAGCGUCAUUUGUACCCUCAAGCUCUGCUUGGUGUUGGGUGUUUGUCCCGUCUCCGCGCGUGGACUCGCCCCAAAGUGAUUGGCAGCCGGCGUACUGGUCCCGGAGCGCAGCACAUGUCGCGCAAACGAGUGCCUUGGUACGGCGGCGUCCAUAAGCCCCUCUCUCACGCUCUUGACCUCGGAUCAGGUAGGGAUACCCGCUGAACUUGAGC